CCUACGGGAGGCAGCAGUGAGGAAUAUUGGUCAAUGGGCGAGAGCCGGAACCAGCCAAGUCGCGUGAGGGAGUACUGCCCUAUGGGUUGUAAACCUCUUGUGUCGGGGAGCAAAAGCCGGACGUGUCCGGCUGUGAGAGUACCCGAAGAAAAAGCAUCGGCUAACUACGUGCCAGCAGCCGCGGUAAUACGGAGGAUGCGAGCGUUAUCCGGAUUUAUUGGGGUAAAAGGGUGCGUAGGCGGACGCUUAAGUCAGCGGUAAAAUUGCGGGGCGCAACCUCGUCGAGCCGUUGAAUGUGGUUGCUUUGAUUGGGCGAGAGGUACGCGGAAGGCGUGGUGUAGCGGUGAACUGCAUAGAUAUCACGCAGAACUCCGAUUGCGAAGGUAGCGUACCGGCGCCCAACUGCCGCUGAAGCACGAAGGCGUGGGUAUCGAACAGGAUUAGAUACCCUAGUAGUC
rnacentral:rRNA from 1 species